rnacentral:rRNA from 1 species
GACGAACGCUGGCGGCGUGCUUAACACAUGCAAGUCGAACGGAAAGGCCCUGCUUUUGUGGGGUGCUCGAGUGGCGAACGGGUGAGUAACACGUGAGUAACCUGCCCUUGACUUUGGGAUAACUUCAGGAAACUGGGGCUAAUACCGGAUAGGAGCUCCUGCUGCAUGGUGGGGGUUGGAAAGUUUCGGCGGUUGGGGAUGGACUCGCGGCUUAUCAGCUUGUUGGUGGGGUAGUGGCUUACCAAGGCUUUGACGGGUAGCCGGCCUGAGAGGGUGACCGGCCACAUUGGGCCUGCGAUACGGCCCAGACUCCUACGGGAGGCAGCGGUGGGGAAUAUUGCACAAUGGGCGGAAGCCUGAUGCAGCAACGCCGCGUGCGGGAUGACGGCCUUCGGGUUGUAAACCGACUUGGCCUGUGACGAGGCGUGAGUGACGGUAAUGGGUAAAGAAGCACCGGCUAACUACGUG